AGGGGUGUAGCUCAGCUGGUAGAGCGCUCGCCUAGCAUGAANGAAGCCCUGGGUUCAAUCCCCAGUACCACAU
rnacentral:tRNA from 1 species